CCUACGGGAGGCAGCAGUAAGGAAUAUUGGUCAAUGGACGCAAGUCUGAACCAGCCAUGCCGCGUGAAGGAUUAAGGCCCUCUGGGUUGUAAACUUCUUUUAUAGGGGACGAAAAAAGGGCAUUCUUGCUCACUUGACGGUACCCUAGGAAUAAGCACCGGCUAACUCCGUGCCAGCAGCCGCGGUAAUACGGAGGGUGCAAGCGUUAUCCGGAUUUACUGGGUUUAAAGGGUGCGUAGGUGGGUUGGUAAGUCAGUGGUGAAAUCUUCGAGCUUAACUCGGAAACUGCCAUUGAUACUAUCAAUCUUGAAUCAUCUAGAGGUAAGCGGAAUAUGUCAUGUAGCGGUGAAAUGCUUAGAUAUGACAUAGAACACCAAUUGCGAAGGCAGCUUACUAUGGAUGUAUUGACACUGAGGCACGAAAGCGUGGGGAUCAAACAGGAUUAGAUACCCUGGUAGUCCACGACCUAACGAUAGAUACUACGACAUUAGUUGUAUAUACUAAUAAGUAGUCUGUAGACGAAGACGAUAAGUUAAUACCACCGUACGGAAGGUAACGGUACCGACCGAAGGUUAGUAAACGUUAACGUUAAAGUAAGAAGUUAGACGGCGUUGAGACGUUAGCCGACGGACGACGACGAGGGAGGAGG
rnacentral:rRNA from 1 species